rnacentral:rRNA from 1 species
AAAUUGAAGAGUUUGAUCAUGGCUCAGAUUGAACGCUGGCGGCAGGCCUAACACAUGCAAGUCGAACGGUAACAGGAAGCAGCUUGCUGCUUUGCUGACGAGUGGCGGACGGGUGAGUAAUGUCUGGGAAACUGCCUGAUGGAGGGGGAUAACUACUGGAAACGGUAGCUAAUACCGCAUAACGUCGCAAGACCAAAGAGGGGGACCUUCGGGCCUCUUGCCAUCGGAUGUGCCCAGAUGGGAUUAGCUAGUAGGUGGGGUAAAGGCUCACCUAGGCGACGAUCCCUAGCUGGUCUGAGAGGAUGACCAGCCACACUGGAACUGAGACACGGUCCAGACUCCUACGGGAGGCAGCAGUGGGGAAUAUUGCACAAUGGGCGCAAGCCUGAUGCAGCCAUGCCGCGUGUAUGAAGAAGGCCUUCGGGUUGUAAAGUACUUUCAGCGGGGAGGAAGGGAGUAAAGUUAAUACCUUUGCUCAUUGACGUUACCCGCAGAAGAAGCACCGGCUAACUCCGUGCCAGCAGCCGCGGUAAUACGGAGGGUGCAAGCGUUAAUCGGAAUUACUGGGCGUAAAGCGCACGCAGGCGGUUUGUUAAGUCAGAUGUGAAAUCCCCGGGCUCAACCUGGGAACUGCAUCUGAUACUGGCAAGCUUGAGUCUCGUAGAGGGGGGGUAGAAUUCGGGUGUAGCGGUGAAAUGCGUAGAGAUCUGGAGGAAUACCGGUGGCGAAGGCGGCCCCCUGGACGAAGACUGACGCUCAGGUGCGAAAGCGUGGGGAGCAAACAGGAUUAGAUACCCUGGUAGUCCACGCCGUAAACGAUGUCGACUUGGAGGUUGUGCCCUUGAGGCGUGGCUUCCGGAGCUAACGCGUUAAGUCGACCGCCUGGGGAGUACGGCCGCAAGGUUAAAACUCAAAUGAAUUGACGGGGGCCCGCACAAGCGGUGGAGCAUGUGGUUUAAUUCGAUGCAACGCGAAGAACCUUACCUGGUCUUGACAUCCACGGAAGUUUUCAGAGAUGAGAAUGUGCCUUCGGGAACCGUGAGACAGGUGCUGCAUGGCUGUCGUCAGCUCGUGUUGUGAAAUGUUGGGUUAAGUCCCGCAACGAGCGCAACCCUUAUCCUUUGUUGCCAGCGGUCCGGCCGGGAACUCAAAGGAGACUGCCAGUGAUAAACUGGAGGAAGGUGGGGAUGACGUCAAGUCAUCAUGGCCCUUACGACCAGGGCUACACACGUGCUACAAUGGCGCAUACAAAGAGAAGCGACCUCGCGAGAGCAAGCGGACCUCAUAAAGUGCGUCGUAGUCCGGAUUGAGUCUGCAACUCGACUCCAUGAAGUCGGAAUCGCUAGUAAUCGUGGAUCAGAAUGCCACGGUGAAUACGUUCCCGGGCCUUGUACACACCGCCCGUCACACCAUGGGAGUGGGUUGCAAAAGAAGUAGGUAGCUUAACCUUCGGGAGGGCGCUUACCACUUUGUGAUUCAUGACUGGGGUGAAGUCGUAACAAGGUAACCGUAGGGGAACCUGCGGUUGGAUCACCUCCUUACCUUAAAGAAGC